CCCUUAGAUGUUCUGGGCCGCACGCGCGCUACACUGACGGAGGCAGCGAGCGUGUCCUUCGCCGGCAGGUGCGGGCAAUCUUGCGAGUCUCCGUCGUGCUGGGGAUAGAUGGUUGCAAUUGUCGAUCUUGAACGAGGAAUUCCUAGUAAGCGCGAGUCAUCAGCUCGCGCUGAUUACGUCCCUGCCCUUUGUACGCACCGCCCGUCGCUACUACAGAGUGCCCGUGUCCAAGAAACGGUCGGACCUGUGCGGCCUCUCCGGGCGACCGGAGGGCCGUUACGGGGAAGACCCUUUAUUUGACGCGGGUCGAUGAAGUAAAAGUCGUAACA
rnacentral:rRNA from 1 species